rnacentral:rRNA from 1 species
UACGAAGGGGGCUAGCGUUGCUCGGAAUCACUGGGCGUAAAGGGUGCGUAGGCGGGUUUUUAAGUCAGGGGUGAAAUCCUGGAGCUCAACUCCAGAACUGCCUUUGAUACUGAAGAUCUUGAGUCCGGGAGAGGUGAGUGGAACUGCGAAGUGUAGAGGUGAAAUUCGUAGAUAUUCGCAAGAACACCAGUGGCGAAGGCGGCUCACUGGCCCGGUACUGACGCUGAGGCACGAAAGCGUGGGGAGCAAACAGG